AUGCUAAUUGCCUCCAUAUUUAUGGGACGAUGGGCAGACCACGGUGAGAACCUUGAAGGAGAACCAUCCCAAUGGGAGGAUGGAAUCCCAGCAGACACCUUUCAUUCUUUCCUGGAGACACCCCCAGCAAGUGAGAAGAUGACGUUAUUAUUUCUUAAUAUAUGGAUUUUUUUUCUAAUUACAAAGAAACCACACAAAUGACCCGUAGAAAACUUGGAAAACAGGAACACACAAAGAUGGCUGUAAAAAGCCCCCAUAAUCCAAGUUAACCGCGGUUAACAUAUUGGUGUAUUUCCUUCUAUCCUUUUUUUCUUUAAGUAGUAGCCCAAGGCCAUGUGAACGAUCUGGGCUUAAGAUCUAUCUUUUGACUUUAAUUAUGUGUAGUUGGACUCUCUAAGAC
rnacentral:lncRNA from 12 species